rnacentral:lncRNA from 10 species
CGCCCCUGGAACCUCCCACCAGCCCAGCACAGCUCUCACAGCCUCAGCGCCCCAGGUCGGGCAGUCAGAAGCAGACCAUGCCACAGGGUCACUUGCUCCGAGGAAAAGAACUCAGAGAGGUAGAAACAGAAGCAACAUACCCUCAUCGAGCCAGGAGGCCGGGGCCAUAAGUCACCGUUGGAUGACCUGCGCUGGGGUGGGAUAAGUCAGCAGGAGCUGCAGCUGGCUGGAGAGACGUUACAGCAAGACAGAAAGCCCUAGAGAGAUGAACAUGGGAACAGUUAGCUGUGAAGCCUUGGGCUGUCGUCCGCCUCCAACCCCUGGGGCUCUGACCACACCCAGCCCCAGCUCAGAUCAUCUUGCUCAAAGGGCCGAAGGAGGACCCAUCUCCACACCUUCCACAUGUAGAUAUCCUCAACGUUCUUCACAGAGGGGAUGCCCGCACCCCGCCCCACCGAGUUCGCGGCUGCUGUGCCCAUCUUCCUAGAGAGGAGUUCUCCGCCACACCCGACACCACACACUUCCAACUUCUGCGGUGCUUCCCUCUCACUUAUCUCCACCCCCAAUCCUUAUCCCCGCUCGUUUAAUCACACAUUUAU